rnacentral:rRNA from 1 species
UACGGAGGGUGCAAGCGUUAUCCGGAAUUAUUGGGCGUAAAGAGCUCGUAGGCGGUCUGUCGCGUCGGCUGUGAAAACCCGAGGCUCAACCUCGGGCCUGCAGUCGAUACGGGCAAACUAGAGUACUGCAGGGGAGACUGGAAUUCCUGGUGUAGCGGUGAAAUGCGCAGAUAUCAGGAGGAACACCGGUGGCGAAGGCGGGUCUCUGGGCAGUAACUGACGCUGAGGAGCGAAAGCGUGGGGAGCGAACAGG